CGUAGGUGCGAGCGUUGUCCGGAAUUACUGGGCGUAAGAGCUCGUAGGUGGUUUGUCGCGUUGUUCGUGAAACUCACAGCUUAACUGUGGGCGUGCGGGCGAUACGGGCAGACUGGAGUACUGUAGGGAGACUGGAAUUCCUGGUGUAGCGGUGGAAUGCGCAGAUAUCAGGAGGAACACCGGUGGCGAAGGCGGGUCUCUGGGCAGUAACUGACGCUGAGGAGCGAAAGCGUGGGGAGCGAACAGGAUU
rnacentral:rRNA from 1 species